rnacentral:rRNA from 1 species
AUUGAACGCUGGCGGCAUGCCUUACACAUGCAAGUCGAACGGCAGCACGGGUGCUUGCACCUGGUGUCGAGUGGCGAACGGGUGAGUAAUACAUCGGAACAUGUCCUGUAGUGGGGGAUAGCCCGGCGAAAGCCGGAUUAAUACCGCAUACGAUCUACGGAUGAAAGCGGGGGACCUUCGGGCCUCGCGCUGUAGGGUUGGCCGAUAGCUGAUUAGCUAGUUGGUGGGGUAAAGGCCUACCAAGGCGACGAUCAGUAGCUGGUCUGAGAGGACGACCAGCCACACUGGGACUGAGACACGGCCCAGACUCCUACGGGAGGCAGCAGUGGGGAAUUUUGGACAAUGGGCGAAAGCCUGAUCCAGCAAUGCCGCGUGUGUGAAGAAGGCCUUCGGGUUGUAAAGCACUUUUGUCCGGAAAGAAAUCCUUGGCUCUAAUACAGUCGGGGGAUGACGGUACCGGAAGAAUAAGCACCGGCUAACUACGUG